ensembl:snRNA U6 U6 spliceosomal RNA
GAGCUCACUUCGGAAGCACAUAUCCUAAAAUUGGAAUGAUUCAGAGAAGAUUCACAUGGCCCCUGUGCAAGGAUGACAUGCAAAUCCAUGAAGCAUUCCAUAUGUUU